GACGAAGGGGGCUAGCGUUGUUCGGAAUUACUGGGCGUAAAGCGCGUGUAGGCGGUUGCCCAAGUCGGGUGUGAAAGCCUUGAGCUCAACUCAAGAAAUGCACUCGGUACUGGGUGACUAGAGGACCGGAGAGGAUAGUGGAAUUCCCAGUGUAGUGGUGAAAUACGUAGAGAUUGGGAAGAACACCAGUGGCGAAGGCGGCUAUCUGGACGGUUUCUGACGCUAAGACGCGAAAGCGUGGGGAGCAAUCCGG
rnacentral:rRNA from 1 species